rnacentral:rRNA from 1 species
AUUGAACGCUGGCGGCAGGCCUAACACAUGCAAGUCGAACGAGCGGCGGACGGGUGAGUAAUGUAUGGGGACUGCCCGAUAGAGGGGGAUAACUACUGGAAACGGUAGCUAAUACCGCAUACUAUCGGAUAACCCAGAUGGGAUUAGCUAGUAGGUGGGGUAAUGGCUCACCUAGGCGACGAUCCCUAGCUGGUCUGAGAGGAUGAUCAGCCACACUGGGACUGAGACACGGCCCAGACUCCUACGGAGGCAGCAGUGGGGAAUAUUGCACAAUGGGCGCAAGCCUGAUGCAGCCAUGCCGCGUGUAUGAAGAAGGCCUUAGGGUUGUAAAGUACUUUCAGUCGGGAGGCGUUACUGGCAGAAGAAGCACCGGCUAACUCCGUGCCAGCCGCCGCGGUAAUAC